CCUACGGGAGGCAGCAGUGAGGAAUAUUGGUCAAUGGACGAGAGUCUGAACCAGCCAAGUAGCGUGAAGGAUGACUGCCCUAUGGGUUGUAAACUUCUUUUAUAUGGGAAUAAAAUGUUCCACGUGUGGGAUUUUGUAUGUACCAUAUGAAUAAGGAUCGGCUAACUCCGUGCCAGCAGCCGCGGUAAUACGGAGGAUCCGAGCGUUAUCCGGAUUUAUUGGGUUUAAAGGGUGCGUAGGUGGAUUGUUAAGUCAGUUGUGAAAGUUUGCGGCUCAACCGUAAAAUUGCAGUUGAAACUGGCAGUCUUGAGUACGGUAGAGGUGGGCGGAAUUCGUGGUGUAGCGGUGAAAUGCUUAGAUAUCACGAAGAACUCCGAUUGCGAAGGCAGUUCACUGGACUGCAACUGACACUGAGGCUCGAAAGUGUGGGUAUCAAACAGGAUUAGAUACCCCUGUAGUC
rnacentral:rRNA from 1 species